AUCCUUUUCCAAUUCAUAAGCAUUAUGACUGGGUGUUCACAUAUUUGUGUGACAUAUGCCUCCCUUAAAUAUUGCUCCAUAUUUGGCACAUUACCCAUCUGAAG